CUUGUUUGGCUCCCCACGGCGCGCAGGUUGGCGUACGCUGAACUGGACCCUCGCAGCAAGAAUGGCACGUGGGACUGCCUCUGCGAACCCCGCUCCUGGACAACAGCUGGGAGGCUCUGUGUUUAAACGCGUGCACCUUGGACGUCAUGCUCCUGCCUCUGCAAGCCCUUUUGCUGGACGCCAUGGAAG